rnacentral:lncRNA from 1 species
UGAAGAUGAAUGGAGCCAAGAGCAAUUUUGGUUGCAUAAUUUGAAAGAAAUUGCAGGUUGUGAUUCACGAAGAUAAAAAUUGCAGGUUUUGCUAUUUACAGCAACUCCAACGAUCAGAUGCACUCUGUGAUUUAUAUAAUAGGUUAAUUAGUUAAUUCUUUUAGUUUUUGUUUGCUGGUCAAUCUAGGGUUUGGUCCCUUUACGGUGAAUCCAAACUCUUAUUUCGUAUAUAUUGAAUCCAAAUCCCUAAUGUUUGUUUUUAAAUCAGGAUUUGUUCCCCUUGCACUGAAUCAAAUCAGAUGCUCUAUCAGUUCCAGCAUUUACAGAGAUCGUCUUGAAUAUUUCAGAAGCUCUUAAACCAAAUGCCUAACCCAAAGAUGGAU